rnacentral:rRNA from 1 species
UACGAAGGGGGCUAGCGUUGUUCGGAAUCACUGGGCGUAAAGCGCACGUAGGCGGAUUGUUAAGUCAGGGGUGAAAUUCCGGGGCUCAACCUCGGAACUGCCUUUGAUACUGAGGAUCUUGAGUCCGGGAGAGGUGAGUGGAACUGCGAGUGUAGAGGUGAAAUUCGUAGAUAUUCGCAAGAACACCAGUGGCGAAGGCGGCUCACUGGCCCGGAACUGACGCUGAGGUGCGAAAGCGUGGGGAGCGAACAGG